UGCAAAUAAGUAUAGGCAGCAGAGAG
rnacentral:piRNA from 1 species